rnacentral:lncRNA from 1 species
GCUGGUCAAAAGGAAUGGGUGAGUCGUCUUCCCGGCUCCGUUGGUUUACGAAACCAUAUUGUGUGUGUAAUAGUGCCUGUGCCGGUAAGAAGAAAGGCAGUUCUGGCCGAGGCAUACCCGGGUUGGGGUGCUGUCUGUGGCUUUGAAGGAGGUCGGGAAUGGAGGCGCGUUCUUCCACGUUGAAGUCAAGGUCGACUUGUCUGUCUGCUAAAGCGAAGUACCCUGUCCAGGAAGAGGAAUCCGAAGAGGAACUAGAGAAGCAUUGGUCUAUUGAUCGAGAAAGACAGAUUCAGGUAGGCAGAAGCCCUCAGGAAGAAUCAAGCUUGGAUCCUGGAGUGGUCAAGAGUAUUCUAAGAAGGCCCACAGUGACCAGGAUAUAGAAAGGUGAGAAUGGGGAGGUUGGCAAGGGCCAGGUCAUGCAGCUCAUUAUAUUUGAGCCAUGUUGAGGAGUUUGUACUUUCGUCAAAGCG